rfam:Sarcophilus harrisii ctg7180001379912, whole genome shotgun sequence.
GCACUAAUUUUGAUAGCAUAUAUCCUAAAAUUGGAAUGAUUGAGAGAAAAUGACCAUGGCCCCUCCACAAGAUGGCAUACAGAUUCUUAAACUGUUCCUUAUUAAA